GACGAACGCUGGCGGCGUGCCUAAUACAUGCAAGUGGGACGCAAGGAAACACACUGUGCUUGCACACCGUGUUUUCUUGAGUCGCGAACGGGUGAGUAACGCGUAGGUAACCUGCCUAUUAGCGGGGGAUAACUAUUGGAAACGAUAGCUAAUACCGCAUAAUAUUAAUUAUUGCAUGAUAAUUGAUUGAAAGAUGCAAGCGCAUCACUAGUAGAUGGGCCUGCGUUGUAUUAGCUAGUUGGUAAGGUAAGAGCUUACCAAGGCGACGAUACAUAGCCGACCUGAGAGGGUGAUCGGCCACACUGGGACUGAGACACGGCCCAGACUCCUACGGGAGGCAGCAGUAGGGAAUCUUCGGCAAUGGACGAAAGUCUGACCGAGCAACGCCGCGUGAGUGAAGAAGGUUUUCGGAUCGUAAAGCUCUGUUGUAAGUCAAGAACGUGUGUGAGAGUGGAAAGUUCACACAGUGACGGUAGCUUACCAGAAAGGGACGGCUAACUACGUG
rnacentral:rRNA from 1 species